rnacentral:rRNA from 2 species
CGAGUUCUGAUUAUUGAAAGGUGCUUGCAUCUUGAUUUAAUUUUGAACGAGUGGCGGACGGGUGAGUAACACGUGGGUAACCUGCCCUUAAGUGGGGGAUAACAUUUGGAAACAGAUGCUAAUACCGCAUAAAUCCAAGAACCGCAUGGUUCUUGGCUGAAAGAUGGCGUAAGCUAUCGCUUUUGGAUGGACCCGCGGCGUAUUAGCUAGUUGGUGAGGUAACGGCUCACCAAGGCAAUGAUACGUAGCCGAACUGAGAGGUUGAUCGGCCACAUUGGGACUGAGACACGGCCCAAACUCCUACGGGAGGCAGCAGUAGGGAAUCUUCCACAAUGGACGCAAGUCUGAUGGAGCAACGCCGCGUGAGUGAAGAAGGCUUUCGGGUCGUAAAACUCUGUUGUUGGAGAAGAAUGGUCGGCAGAGUAACUGUUGUCGGCGUGACGGUAUCCAACCAGAAAGCCACGGCUAACUACGUGCCAGCAGCCGCGGUAAUACGUAGGUGGCAAGCGUUAUCCGGAUUUAUUGGGCGUAAAGCGAGCGCAGGCGGUUUUUUAAGUCUGAUGUGAAAGCCCUCGGCUUAACCGAGGAAGUGCAUCGGAAACUGGGAAACUUGAGUGCAGAAGAGGACAGUGGAACUCCAUGUGUAGCGGUGAAAUGCGUAGAUAUAUGGAAGAACACCAGUGGCGAAGGCGGCUGUCUGGUCUGUAACUGACGCUGAGGCUCGAAAGCAUGGGUAGCGAACAGGAUUAGAUACCCUGGUAGUCCAUGCCGUAAACGAUGAAUGCUAGGUGUUGGAGGGUUUCCGCCCUUCAGUGCCGCAGCUAACGCAUUAAGCAUUCCGCCUGGGGAGUACGACCGCAAGGUUGAAACUCAAAGGAAUUGACGGGGGCCCGCACAAGCGGUGGAGCAUGUGGUUUAAUUCGAAGCAACGCGAAGAACCUUACCAGGUCUUGACAUCUUUUGAUCACCUGAGAGAUCAGGUUUCCCCUUCGGGGGCAAAAUGACAGGUGGUGCAUGGUUGUCGUCAGCUCGUGUCGUGAGAUGUUGGGUUAAGUCCCGCAACGAGCGCAACCCUUAUGACUAGUUGCCAGCAUUUAGUUGGGCACUCUAGUAAGACUGCCGGUGACAAACCGGAGGAAGGUGGGGAUGACGUCAAAUCAUCAUGCCCCUUAUGACCUGGGCUACACACGUGCUACAAUGGAUGGUACAACGAGUUGCGAGACCGCGAGGUCAAGCUAAUCUCUUAAAGCCAUUCUCAGUUCGGACUGUAGGCUGCAACUCGCCUACACGAAGUC